GCCAGCCCGCUCAGAAACUCAAAUGAAUUGACGGGGGCCCGCACAAGCGGUGGAGUAUGUGGUUUAAUCGAUGCAACGCGAAGAACCUUACCUGGUCUUGACAUCCCGGAGACCCUUAGGAAACUAGGGGGUGCUUCCAUCUGGAAGAAUCUGGAGACAGGUGCUGCAUGGCUGUCGUCAGCUCGUGUCGUGAGAUGUUGGGUUAAGUCCCGCAACGAGCGCAACCCUUGCCUUUAGUUGCCAGCAGUUCGGCUGGGCACUCUAAAGGGACUGCCGGUGUUAAACCGGAGGAAGGUGGGGAUGACGUCAAGUCCUCAUGGCCUUUAUGACCAGGGCUACACACGUACUACAAUGGCCGAUACAAAGGGCAGCGACACUGCGAGGUGAAGCCAAUCCCGUAAAAUCGGUCUCAGUCCGGAUUGGAGUCUGCAACUCGACUCCAUGAAGUUGGAAUCGCUAGUAAUCGUGGAUCAGCAUGCCACGGUGAAUACGUUCCCGGGCCUU
rnacentral:rRNA from 1 species